CGACUCUGAAACAACACGGGUCCCGUCAUGAAAUCCACAUGCUGCCGAGAAAAUGGAUCCCCAUGAAGGGAAAACGAUCCUUAAGGAAGAUACAGAGGACGUCAUCUGACAUAGCUAUGGCCUCAAAAAGUAAGAAUCGGCUUCUGUAGGAGCCAACAGAUCACUGACGAUGCCUCCGAGGCAGCUGUUCUCAUCGCUGAGAAUUCUG